GACGAACGCUGGCGGCGUGCCUAAUACAUGCAAGUCGAGCGGACUGAUGGGAGCUUGCUCCCUGAUGUUAGCGGCGGACGGGUGAGUAACACGUGGGCAACCUACCUGUAAGACUGGGAUAACUCCGGGAAACCGGGGCUAAUACCGGAUAACCCGUUCCUCCUCAUGGAGGGACGGUAAAAGAUGGCUUCUUGCUAUCACUUACAGAUGGGCCCGCGGCGCAUUAGCUAGUUGGUAAGGUAAUGGCUUACCAAGGCGACGAUGCGUAGCCGACCUGAGAGGGUGAUCGGCCACACUGGGACUGAGACACGGCCCAGACUCCUACGGGAGGCAGCAGUAGGGAAUCUUCCGCAAUGGACGAAAGUCUGACGGAGCAACGCCGCGUGAGUGAUGAAGGUUUUCGGAUCGUAAAGCUCUGUUGUUAGGGAAGAACAAGUGCCGUUCAAAUAGGGCGGCACCUUGACGGUACCUAACCAGAAAGCCACGGCUAACUACGUGCCAGCAGCCGCGGUAAUACGUAGGUGGCAAGCGUUGUCCGGAAUUAUUGGGCGUAAAGCGCGCGCAGGCGGUCUUUUAAGUCUGAUGUGAAAGCCCACGGCUCAACCGUGGAGGGUCAUUGGAAACUGGGAGACUUGAGUACAGAAGAGGAGAGUGGAAUUCCACGUGUAGCGGUG
rnacentral:rRNA from 1 species